ACUACUAAGAGACUGCCGGUGUCAAACCGGAGGAAGGUGGGGAUGACGUCAAGUCCUCAUGGCCUUAUGGACGAGGUCUACACACGAUACAAUGGUCGGUACAGAGGGGCGCAAGACCGCGAGGUGGAGCAAAUCCCAAAAAACCGGUCUCAGUUCGGAUUGGAGUCUGCAACUCGACUCCAUGAAGUUGGAAUCGCUAGUAAUCGCGUAUCAGCAUGACGCGGUGAAUACGUUCCCGGGCCUU
rnacentral:rRNA from 1 species